GUGCUUUUCGAACAGCUUUCAUAUUUGUUCUGCUUUUAUUCUAUUCUAUUCUUACUGCACUUAAAAUUUACGGUUUGCGAAAAAUAAACUCUAGAAAUGUAUUUAUUGGUUUUUAUUGAAGAGAAUAUGAUACUGGAAUCUGUACCUUAGAUUUCCUUCGGCACGAAUUGGGUUUUGUCUCUUUCUGAAGAUGAAAGAAUGUUUGCAAAAGAAGCAAUGGCAACAGAAACUAAAGAUUUUUUCUUAUGCUAUAAGUUGAUGAAAGUAUUCCGAAAAUUGAAGAUUUUGGGACCUCAAGAGUGUUGAGCAGCAAGAGUGAAGCUUCAACUAUUCUCUACUUGUGUAUGAAACCAAACUUGCUUCCUUCUGUUUUUGAUGCUCGAUGCUUGUCGGGUUGAUGUGUUUCCUUUAGCUGUUAUAAGAUAUAAUUAGAAGGGUGACAUAUGAGCCCUUGGCUUCAUUCUCUAUGAGUUCUGAAGAAGCUGAUGAAAGAAUUUCUAGUUUAAUCAUAUGUUUGAUAACUUCAUCACAGU